GUUGAACGCUGGCGGCAUGCUUUACACAUGCAAGUCGAACGGUAACAGGCCGCAAGGUGCUGACGAGUGGCGAACGGGGGAGGAAUGCAUCGGAACGUGCCCCGUCGGGGGGGAUAACGCAGCGAAAGCUGUGCUAAUACCCCAUACGAUCUAUGGAUGAAAGAGGGGGACCGUAAGGCCUCGCACGAUUGGAGCGGGCGAUGUCAGAUUAGGUAGUUGGUGGGGUAAAGGCUCACCAAGCCAACGAUCUGUAGCUGGUCUGAGAGGACGACCAGCCACACUGGGACUGAGACACGGCCCAGACUCCUACGGGAGGCAGCAGUGGGGAAUUUUGGACAAUGGGCGCAAGCCUGAUCCAGCAAUGCCGCGUGCAGGAAGAAGGCCUUCGGGUUGUAAACUGCUUUUGUACGGAACGAAAAGGUUUGGGCUAAUACCCUGGGCCGAUGACGGUACCGUAAGAAUAAGCACCGGCUAACUACGUGCCAGCCGCCGCAGUAA
rnacentral:rRNA from 1 species